GAAUAUAUCCUAAAUAGUUGUGAAGUUUCUUAUUGCUUUUUGAUUCUCAUACACUAAUUUAGACAUAGUAACUUUGACAACCGGGUUAUUACCUUAUCUUCUUGUUGUAUAUAAACAAUUUUGGGAUGAACAUCAACUCGCUCAUCCCUUUGAAAACAUAUGAAGCAGGAACCAAUAUAAGUUAUGUGGUAUUCAAAUGAUUCAUCACGAGCUUGAGGCAUGUAGCAAAUACCUAAGAGAUCCUUGCAUUGACAAAAGUGUUUUUGGAAGAUGACAUGUACAGCCUGAGAAUAGAGCUGUCUUUUUUGAACCAUUUUCUUAUUUCCUUGGAAAUCAUUUCGGAAGAUGUCUGCAUUUGAAGGAAUCUUAUUAGCAGAAGCCCGCCUAUCAUAUACGCUACCGGCGCAUCUUAGAGUACGCCACCGGAAUGCUGAUCUUAACUGCCUCGGUGACGAUGUCCGAUGAAAACCCAAAACCCUGCUUAAGUCUUCCGCUGAUCUGUCUGCAGUUUUCCAGAAAGAACUUGUUGGUAAUCAAUUUUUCCGGCGACCAGGUAUCUGUUGCUAUAGGCAUUGGGACCUUCUAUGUGAAGGUGGAUGACGAUGGAUGUGGUGUUUCACGAGAUGGACUGGUGCUGAUGGGAGAAAAGUAUGGUUCCAUGUUAUUUUUGUGCGUCAAUCUAACUGAUGUUGAUCUUUUAGAAUUGCUUCAACAGGUACUUCUAGCCCAGCUUAUGGAGACAUUGACCUUGUGCAUUUCAGUUUCGCUGAAACAGGUCCAGUGUUUCACACGCCGCCUCCAUGUUUUAUUGUAAUUCAGGAGUCAGACAAAGGAUACUGGCAUGUACCAACUGCCUCACAACUUGAAUCUGAAGAGGAAAGGACGUGGUUGUGCAUUAGGCAUGCCAAUUCACCUUUGGCAAAUCAAAACUCUGCCAGUGUAAACAUAUGUAUGCUUGGAUUGGAGAAAGUCUGUAGUCUCAAGAUAUUUCUCUUUUGGACACAUGUGGCAUGCUUAAAAAUCUGAUCCGGGAUUAGCAGCAAGUGGUUAUAUUGAGAAUUAGAGUUCUGAUUGCGAGCAAUUAAUUGAAGUGUUAUAGCUGAGUAUCAUAGUUUCUGUAAACUAUACAAAGAUUUGAAUAUUUUUUGGCAUGUGUUCUUCUAUCUUUUCACAUUAUAAUAAGAAUGCCCCCGUGAUUGUUCUUAGCUAUUUUUUGCAUUACAGGAGUUACAUUCUUAGAAGUUGGUGUAUCUAAUAUUCUACCAUCCAAACAACUGAUGUGCAACGUCUUCGAGAUUAGAAGACGAUUAAAAUCCUCAUUGUGGUCUAUCUAAAUCUAAAGAGCAUGCAGAAGUUGCAACACCAGAAGAAACCCACAGAUUGUGUUGUUGUGGUUGAAGAGCUAUGGUGGAAAGCUUCGAAUUUUUCAGCUCUCAAAAGAACGGGCCUGUGUCAUUCUUCAAUGUAUAGAAUCAGAAGUUGUUGUCUUGCGGUAAGCUGAAGCACGUAAAAGAGUUACCAAGGUGGAAAUAGGCUGUCAGAACAUGAGAAGCUUCAAAAACUUGUUUUAAGUUGCACAUAAUAUUGAUUAGUAUAAGUAAAACCUAUACUUUAGAUCCAAAGUAUAUGUGAACUUAAACAUUUAUUAACAAAUGUGUAUGCAUUAGUAUAUUUGUCAGAUCAAUAUUUGCCUAAGUAGAAGUGAAAAAAACAGUAGGCGGAGAAUCUGCAAAAUCAAUUGAUGUAUGCUAUUUUUGGGCGACUUAAAUAAGUGUUGGGCCCAUGCUAAGCACGGCCACAUGCCAUCUAAUUUGGAAAGAAAUAUGACGUUAAUAGUGUGGCCAAUGAACCUCUCGUGUGGUCCAGGGAUGUCAAUGUUUCAGACUCCUCCAUUCUUGGAUAUCCAAGACUGCAUUUGGUGUUCCAAACAAUUCACACUUUGGCACCCCAAGAUUUGAUUCCUAUUCCUUUGGCCAACCAGCAGUAUCCAUGUCAGAGAGCAAAGGCUUACAUUAGUGUCCUUUUUCUCAUGUAUUGGAGCAGAUGCUAUAAGAUUAUAUAAUGUUCAAUGUGCAUUACUAUAUGCUCUACAUUGAUCUGAAAUCCAUGUUGCUCUUUUGUUAAUUAUUAGUACCAAGUACUAUUUGUUCUUAUUUUAUAUUGUUGGAUAUCCUAAGUGCUUAAUCUAAGAUCAAAUUUGCA